CCGCAUCAUCGCCGUCCUCCUGGAGCCCUCUCCCCCUCCGUCAGCCCCUCCGUCAGCGCUCGUCGCCGCGUGCCCACUUGGAAGCUGUAGCCGACCGAGGCUUUAAUGGCGUUCGUCUCCUCCUCUUGUCCUCGAGCUCGCCCUCGUCUCCGUGAUCCCUGCAUCAAUAGCUCAUCGCCUUCCCUGAGCCCAUGCGUGAGCACACGCAUCCGCGGCGUCGGCCGCGUGUCCACGGCGACGCCAUCUCGGCCUCUUCGCCCCGCGGCUACUUAAGCCCCUCCCCGAGCACUCCGAGCUCACCAGCUUCCUCACCUCACUCCCAGAAACCUCCCCGACCCAUCCGUUCGACUCCAGCGCUCCUCUUCGCCUCUGUUGGCCGCCAUGGUCGUCGCUCCCAUCCGGCUAAAUUGGCUCGAGCCGAAGCUCGUCUUCCCCUCCCACCACCACCAUUGUCUUCCCUGUGCUCCUUCGAGCCGGCCCAAUCGCUUGCCCCUCACCGGAGUUGGCCGUAGCACCGAGCAUCACCACCGCCCACCUCUCUGUCCUCCUCCUGCCUCCUCCCGUCACUGAUUCCCCUGUCCUCCCCGGCGUGCCCCUUCCCUCUGGAUCGAUGCGGCCAGCCGAGCCGCUCCCGCCAGUGGCCUCCCCCUGUCCUGAGACGGCCGGAGCUGGCCAGCCCCCCGCCGGCGCCGCGCCCUCCCCUGGUUUCCUCUGUUCCCGAUCGGGGGCAGGGAGGAGGAAGAAGACGAAGGCCAGGCGGGCACCGCUCCCUUUCCCCGACCCCACUUGGCAGCACUCGGGCGUUGACCCGUCCGAUCCAACUGGAUAAGUGACGGGCCCCACAGCCCGUGGGACCCGCACGUCAACGACCCACGCCCGGCCCCACCACUGUCCACAUGGUUAAGUCGAAACGUAUUUCCCAGAGGACCCGUUGGUGAUGAAAUUUUCACAGUUUGGUCUCUGGAGUUCAAACUAUCAUAUCUUUUUAACAACAACUCCAAAUGAGCCCCUCAGAGAGAGAACUGUUUCCGGCAAAUCUUUCCGUGGCUUCACCG